rnacentral:rRNA from 1 species
UACAGAGGUCCCGAGCGUUACUGAGAAUCACUGGGUUUAAAGGGUGCGUAGGUGGUCCGUUAAGUCAGUUGUGAAAUCCCCGGGCUCAACUCGGGAACUGCUUCUGAUACUGGCGGACUUGAGGCCAGUAGGAGUCACUAGAACUGACGGUGGAGCGGUGACAUGCGUAGAUAUCGUCAGGAAUGCCGGUGGUGAAGACGGGUGACUGGGCUGGUUCUGACACUGAGGCACGAAAGCGUGGGGAGCGAACGGG